CGCCUUGCCGCCUCUGGCCACCGUCCUUCUCUGGUACACUGCCUGGUGGGUCCUGAUGUCAGAUGGUCGGUGCCGGGGCUUGGUUGGUCGGUUUGGUCUGGUUUGUGGGCCUCCUUUGCAUGCGUUACGCCGGACGCGAUCGUUUGCGACUUUGUCUGCGUAUUCGUCGUGUUUUCUUCUUAUUCCGGACUUGUGCUCAUGAAAUCAUAAAUCUUCGAAAACAACUAUGGAGCUAGGUCAGUGAUACAAAUAUGUGGGUAAGAGGUAUAGUUUUUCUUCUUUUAUGAGUAUAGUUGACGGUCAUAUUUCGCACUUAACGACCGUCAACACAGCGCACAGCGGCAGCCAUCCUAGCGCGCGCCGGCAGUGCACAGCGGCAGCCCGGAACGGCGGCGCGCGGCCGGACAGGCUGACAGGCAUGGGCCAGCGCGACAGGCGCCCAGCGAGCAGCGGCGGCGCUUGAUGAGGCGCCGGCGGCGGCAUGCGCGGCUGCGCCUGAGCGGCUGAGCUGCGGCCUGCAGGCGGCAGCAGUAGCAGGCCAUCUUCUGAACAAAUAAAGGUUCAAAUAUGAAGAGGAAGAAGGGUAGUAGUGCUGUUACAGAUCUGCGGUCUUUCUUGCAAAAGAGUGCCGCAAAGAAAAAACAAACCGAGCCAGAGAUUGUUACUCCAUCUGCUAUUGAAAGCCAAAUGCAGUUGGUGGUAUUCUAAGGACAGAGUGACACAGGAACAAGCACCAGUCAACCUCAAUCAGUGAGAGAUGAGCAGCGGCAGCCAGUUGAACCCUCAAUAAUAGAAGAUGAUGAAUCCAUGCCCCUAGGCGAAUCUGAUUCUAGUGACAAUGAUGAAGACAAUAAUGAUUAUGAGAUUGAGCAUGAUCUUGGAUUGAGGAGCUAUACCUUUUUCGGACUUCGGAGCAGCAGGCAAUAGAUCUUGGUUUGUUCUUCAAUCUUCAGCGUUAGAAGUUGCUUGUUAUAUUGUUGGCAAUCAGCUGAUUUGGUUUUUAUUCGAAUUCAUGUUUGCAUAUGUGGCCAAUAUUUGAUCAUACAGAGUAAUUACGAAGUAAAUGGCUUAUCAAUUGAUUUGAACUGACUUGCCCACUCAA